GGCCGCGCACGCGGGAAAAGCUUCCCCGGUGUCCCCCCCCAUCCCCCGCCCCGCGCCCCCCCGCGUCCCCCCAGCGCGCCCACCUCCCGCGCCGGGGCCAUCGCGAGGUUGCAGCCUGAGGAGGUAGGUGGUGGUCGUCCCCCGGUCCCAGGAAGGCAGCUCCCCCACGGGACGCUCGACAUGGACCAUUCCGCGUUCGAAACCGCGGGGAGCGGGCGAAUCCAUUCUGUGGGGCGGGGGUGAACCGUGGGUCUGGGGCCGCGGGGGUGGUGAGAGCGGUGCGAGGGAAACCGUGCACUCUGAGCUGGAUUGGGGCGCGUGCGAGGUGCGGGCUCCGGGCAGACCCUGGGGUUCCGCUGCUCGUUGCCAUGGCUCCCGCCGGAGCGGCCAGAGCGGGCGUCGGGUUGGGUGUCAGCGGUAUUCCAGGCCCGGUUCUCCACCCGGGCCUAGGCCUGGAUCCUCGGGCACUGCAGCGUCCGUCUGUAGGUUUCCAGGCAGAGGAAAUCCUGAGACAUCCAGGCGCAGCUGGGAGUUGCUACCUGGCUCCAUCCGUGAGCACAGCGAGGUGCUAUCUUUCAUGCUUAUCUGUCUUCCUCUUGAAUUCAGAUUCCCAACCUGCUGAGCAUCCGCACACCCACUCAGGAGUUGGGGCCCAGCUCCCAGUUUACUUGGUUUCCCUUGUGCAGCCUGGGGCUCUGCCCAGGCCACCACAGGCAGGGGUCGACAUGGCAGAGACACUGGAGUUCAACGAUGUCUAUCAGGAGGUGAAAGGCUCCAUGAAUGAUGGUCGACUGAGGUUGAGCCGCCAGGGCAUCAUCUUCAAGAAUAGCAAGACAGGCAAAGUGGACAACAUCCAGGCUGGGGAGUUAACAGAAGGCAUCUGGCGCCGUGUUGCUCUGGGCCAUGGACUUAAACUGCUUACAAAGAAUGGCCAUGUCUACAAGUAUGAUGGCUUCCGAGAAUCGGAGUUUGAGAAACUCUCUGAUUUCUUCAAAACUCACUAUCGCCUUGAGCUAAUGGAGAAGGACCUUUGUGUGAAGGGCUGGAACUGGGGGACAGUGAAAUUUGGUGGUGAGUCCUGGGGAAGACUGAGGUUUGGGGAGGAAGAUAGGGCGAAGGGUUUCAGCCUUUUACUUGUUUUGCUCUUUUCCCUCUGCCACUGUCUCUGGUUUCCUAUCCGUUUGCAUGUUCAUCAUGUGUUUAUUGAGUACCUACAAUAUACGGCCUGGGGUUGGGGUUACAGUCUAAACAGACUAACCGCAGUAUCGUGUUUCUGUGGAACUGAGUUUGGUGGGAAUAUUGCUUAUGCAGACUUAAGGGGAGGAGCUUGUGGCUGGAUAAGCCCUUUCCUCACAGGGCAGCUGCUUUCCUUUGACAUUGGUGACCAGCCAGUCUUUGAGAUACCCCUCAGCAAUGUGUCCCAGUGCACCACAGGCAAGAAUGAGGUGACACUGGAAUUCCACCAAAACGAUGACGCAGAGGUGUCUCUCAUGGAGGUGCGCUUCUACGUCCCACCCACCCAGGAGGAUGGUGUGGACCCUGUUGAGGUGAGGCUUCCCCUGGUUGCCUUGGCAGCAGAUGGUGCUGAGCAGGCGUUGGCUGGCCUGGGAGUAGGGCCUGCUGCUUGGUUACCAAUGUGUGCUUUUGCAGGCCUUUGCCCAGAAUGUGUUGUCGAAGGCGGAUGUAAUCCAGGCCACGGGAGAUGCCAUCUGCAUCUUCCGGGAGCUGCAGUGUCUGACUCCUCGUGGUCGUUAUGAUAUUCGGAUCUACCCCACCUUUCUGCACCUGCAUGGCAAGACCUUUGACUACAAGAUCCCCUAUACCACAGUGCUGCGUCUGUUUUUGUUACCCCACAAGGACCAGCGCCAGAUGUUCUUUGUGAUCAGCCUGGAUCCCCCAAUCAAGCAAGGGCAAACUCGCUACCACUUCCUGAUCCUCCUCUUCUCCAAGGACGAGGACAUUUCGUUGACUCUGAACAUGAACGAGGAAGAAGUGGAGAAGCGCUUUGAGGGUCGGCUCACCAAGAACAUGUCAGGAUCCCUCUAUGAGAUGGUCAGCCGGGUCAUGAAAGCACUGGUGAACCGCAAGAUCACAGUGCCAGGCAACUUCCAAGGGCACUCAGGGGCCCAGUGCAUUACCUGUUCCUACAAGGCAAGCUCAGGACUGCUGUACCCGCUGGAGCGGGGCUUCAUCUACGUCCACAAGCCACCUGUGCACAUCCGCUUCGAUGAGAUCUCCUUUGUCAACUUUGCUCGUGGUACCACUACUACUCGUUCCUUUGACUUUGAAAUUGAGACCAAGCAGGGCACUCAGUAUACCUUCAGCAGCAUUGAGAGGGAGGAGUACGGGAAACUGUUUGAUUUUGUCAACGCGAAAAAGCUCAACAUCAAAAAUCGAGGAUUGAAAGAGGUACUUCUGUGUAGGGAGGAUGAGACCCUCUCCUGGUCUUUCUGUAGGGGAGAAAGGGGUGGAGAUUUUUUCCGGCUUCUUUUUCACUCUUUCUUCUCUUCUUACCCUUAUAGAAAAAAGAGGUGCGUGUGACCCUUUCCCCCUCCUGGUGCAGGUUUCCUCUGCAUGACCUUAGACCAGUCUAUGCAGCCCCUCAGGAGCCCCCAGUGGGGCUGGGAGAGGGAGGGGCUUGGGGCUUGGACUAACCCAGUUGGCAGGAAGUACUUGGGCGUAGGCCCUGCACGUUGGCUGUGUGUGGACAAUCCAGCCCCAGGUCUGCUGGGAGCUGCUGCUCUGACUUGACAGGCAUGGGGGUGUGCUUUUGAGUGUGCAGGGAUUCUGGCUCGAGGGUGAGUUGGCCCCACUGUGAACUCUUCCCUGGCUAGGGCAUGAACCCAAGCUACGAUGAAUAUGCCGACUCUGAUGAGGACCAGCAUGAUGCCUACUUGGAGAGGAUGAAGGAGGAAGGCAAGAUCCGGGAGGAGAAUGCCAAUGACAGCAGCGAUGACUCAGGAGAAGAAACCGAUGAGUCAUUCAACCCAGGUGAAGAGGAGGAAGAUGUGGCAGAGGAGUGAGUUUUGGUGGUACCUUGUGGGGAUAAGAUGGUGACCCAUAAGCUUAAGGGACCAGAAGAUUUCUGGACAUUUCUCAGGUCCCAGCAUUAGCUACUGACCCAGAAUGGGAGAGUGACUUCCAAUGAGGUGAUACACGAAAAUGUUUUGGAAAUUGUCAAGGGCUUUGUAAGUGCAAGGCAUAUUUUGAAGUCAGAAAAGUAUGGUGGGGUCUAUGGCCAUACCACCCUGAAUGUGCCAGUCGGGGCUGGUUCGUAGUUGGAUGAGGAGAGAAUGGGAAUGAGCUGGUGCUUGCCACUUACUUGCUGGGGGUUGUCGAGUAAGUCAUUGAUCUCAAUUUCCUCAUCGGUAGAAAUGUAGUAGUACCCCUGCUAAAUUGGUUAAGACUUUCUGUUAGCAGUGUCAGAAAUGUGACUCACUCUCACUUUAAAAGGGAACAUAUAAAAGGGAAUUUCAUAAGUUCAUGUUACUGCGGAGUUUGGGGAUUUAAUUGGCUUCAGACACUACUGGAUUCAGGUGCUCAAAUCUAUUUCUUCCGAUUUCCUUAAUUAAAAAUAGGUUUACCCCAUGGGGUGCCCAGUGACUCUCAGAAGCUCAGGGCAGGCUUAAUCCUACUGGUUUAGAACAACACCAGAAGUGCCUCUUUUGGUGAACAGCACAGUGAACACAGUGGUUACCUGCCCCUUUCUAGCCUGAGUUAUUAGGAUGGGCCGGGGUCUGAUGGGCCAGAAAUAGGCCAAGUGCCCACCCUUAGAGCCUGUGGUUGGGGUAAGCCCUUCCUGAGUGGGGGCAAGGUGGUUCCCAACAGAAAAUUGGGACUCUGCUCUCUUACUCCAGAAGAAUUGUAAAAGAAUGUCGGGCAGCAAAAAAACACCCAACAGGAGUCCACUAGUUCAGCCUGCCACAUGUUUAUGAAGGUUUAUGAAGGUUUAAUGAACAAAUACUUGUGAAAGUGCCUUGAAACUGUCCAGCAGCAUACAGGUGUAAGGUAGUUGCAUUUUUUGAGGAGUUUCAAAUAUAUCAGAUAAGACUGUCAAUUAUAGGGGUAGGCACUGGGUUGGACUGAAGUUGGUUUUCCUCUUUUUGUAGUAACUGAUUAUCUUUUCAUCAGAAGACUGUAGGGGCCAAUCCUUUUGUAGUUCACAAACAUAAUGGUUGGGUGUUACGUGCGUGUGUGAAACGUGCCACCCUCCAGCCUUGUUAUGACGUUGACACAUUACCCAUCUGACAAAAAAAAGACAAAAAAGACUAUAGGGUAGAUUAAGGUGAUUACUCCGAAGGAAGUGGUGAAGUGAAUUUGGGCCAUGUUCCAGGCAUGAAUGAGGCAGCGUUUCUGCCUGUGGUGUCCUGGGGAUGGACUAGGACCUGGUUUGGCUCAUGGAUUUGUUUUUCAUUCAUUAAUUCCGAUCAAGUAACCAAUUGCUGUGGCUGGGUCUGGAGAGGGCAUGGCUGAAGCCACCUCAGUGAAUGCGAGGAAGCAGUGUUGGGGAUUGGUGGUGGAUACUGUCCUCUGGUCUUCCUCCCUUGCCCCUUUUGGGUGGGUAUCUUUGGAUUUGUCUUCCUCCUGUCCUGAGGCCGUGGGGUCCUGUCUUCCCUCCUCAAGUCUAAGCCUGGCUUGUUCUCUGGCAGGUUUGACAGCAACGCCUCUGCCAGCUCCUCCAGUAAUGAGGGUGACAGUGACCGGGAUGAGAAGAAGCGGAAACAGCUCAAAAAGGCCAAGAUGGCCAAGGACCGCAAGAGCCGCAAGAAGCCUGUGGAGGUGAAGAAGGGCAAAGACCCCAAUGCCCCCAAGAGGCCCAUGUCUGCAUACAUGCUGUGGCUCAAUGCCAGCCGAGAGAAGAUCAAGUCAGACCAUCCUGGCAUCAGCAUCACGGAUCUUUCCAAGAAGGCAGGCGAGAUCUGGAAGGGAAUGUCCAAAGAGAAGAAAGAGGAGUGGGAUCGCAAGGCUGAGGAUGCCAGGAGGGACUAUGAAAAAGCCAUGAAAGAAUAUGAAGGGGGCCGAGGCGAGUCUUCUAAGAGGUGAGUGUCGAGAACACGGCCCAGUCACUGAUUUUUGUGGCGGACUUUUUUUUUUUUUUUUAACAGGCUGAAGUUGAGCAUUGGAAAGUUAAACACAGCAGAUAUGCUUCUGACUGCAGUAGGGUAGUGCUUCUCAAACCUGGGUAGGCCAUUGCCCAAGUAUGGGUGACACGAUAGGGCAUUCAAGUCACUGGGGAAAUAUGGCCUAUUUUCCUGGACCAUUUUAUUUGAAGGUAUGGGGGAACGAAAAAAAUAACUAUUAUGGAGUGCAGUGCACAGUUUGCAUGAACUCUAAAAGAUAAAGCAAGAAAUGUCAAGUAGGUUUUGCAUAUGGGGCUGCUUUAGGCUGUGCCCUCUGAUUCCUCUGGUAUACUCAUGAUACUCUCCCUUGGUGACCUUGAGGCUGACACAGCUAUUUACGUUCAGAGCGAAAUGGGCCGUGUGGCUGGGAUUGGGAAAGGCCUUGUUAAAGCUGGAAGAGGUUUGGUCAUGGUAAUGGGGGACCUGAAGGCCCAGCUCCCCUUCCCUCUUGCCAAUACAGGGACAAGUCAAAGAAGAAGAAAAAAGUAAAGGUAAAGAUGGAAAAGAAAUCCACGCCCUCUAGGGGCUCAUCAUCCAAGUUGUCCUCAAGGCAGCUAAGCGAGAGCUUCAAGAGCAAAGAGUUUGUGUCUAGUGAUGAGAGCUCUUCGGGAGAGAACAAGAGCAAAAAGAAGAGGAGGAGGAGCGAGGACUCUGAAGAAGAAGAACUAGCCAGUACUCCCCCCAGCUCAGAGGACUCAGCGUCAGGAUCCGACGAGUAGAAACGGAGGAAGGUUCUCUUUGCGCUUGCCUUCUCACACCCCCAGACUCCCCACCCAUAUUUUGGUACCGGUUUCUCCUCAUGAAAUGCAGUCCCUGGAUUCUGUGCCAUCUGAACAUGCUCUCCUGUUGGUGUGUAUGUCACUAGGGCAGUGGGGAGACGUCUUAACUCUGCUGCUUCCCAAGGAUGGCUGUUUAUAAUUUGGGGAGAGAUAAGGUGGGAGGCAGGGCAAUGCAGGAUCCACAUCCUCAUCUUACUUUCCCGACCUUAAGGAUGUAGCUGCUGCUUGUCCUGUUCCAAGUUGCUGGAGCAGGGGUCAUGUGAGGCCAGGCCUGUAGCUCCUACCUGGGGCCUAUUUCUACUUUUAUUUUGUAUUUCUGGUCUGUGAAAAUGAUUUAAUAAAGGGAACUGACUUUGGAAACC
rnacentral:sRNA from 1 species